rnacentral:rRNA from 1 species
GCAAGUCGAACGAGAGAUGAGGAGCUUGCUCUUCAAAUCGAGUGGCGAACGGGUGAGUAACGCGUGAGGAACCUGCCUCAAAGAGGGGGACAACAGUUGGAAACGACUACUAAUACCGCAUAAGCUCACGGCUCGGCAUCGAGCAGAGGGAAAAGGAGCAAUCCGCUUUGAGAUGGCCUCGCGUCCGAUUAGCUAGUUGGUGAGGUAAUGGCCCACCAAGGCGACGAUCGGUAGCCGGACUGAGAGGUUGAACGGCCACAUUGGGACUGAGACACGGCCCAGACUCCUACGGGAGGCAGCAGUGGGGAAUAUUGCACAAUGGGGGAAACCCUGAUGCAGCGACGCCGCGUGGAGGAAGAAGGUCUUCGGAUUGUAAACUCCUGUUGUUGAGGAAGACAAUGACGGUACUCAACAAGGAAGUGACGGCUAACUACGUGCCAGCAGCCGCGGUAAAACGUAGGUCACAAGCGUUGUCCGGAAUUACUGGGUGUAAAGGGAGCGCAGGCGGGAGAACAAGUUGGAAGUGAAAUCCAUGGGCUCAACCCAUGAACUGCUUUCAAAACUGUUUUUCUUGAGUAGUGCAGAGGUAGGCGGAAUUCCC